UAGGGAAUCUUCGGCAAUGGACGAAAGUCUGACCGAGCAACGCCGCGUGAGUGAAGAAGGUUUUCGGAUCGUAAAACUCUGUUGUUAGAGAAGAACAAGGACGUUAGUAACUGAACGUCCCCUGACGGUAUCUAACCAGAAAGCCACGGCUAACUACGUGCCAGCAGCCGCGGUAAUACGUAGGUGGCAAGCGUUGUCCGGAUUUAUUGGGCGUAAAGCGAGCGCAGGCGGUUUCUUAAGUCUGAUGUGAAAGCCCCCGGCUCAACCGGGGAGGGUCAUUGGGAACUGGGAGACUUGAGUGCAGUAGAGGAGAGUGGAAUUCCAUGUGUAGCGGUGAAAUGCGUAGAUAUAUGUAGGAACACCAGUGGCGAAGGCGGCUCUCUGGUCUGUAACUGACGCUGAGGCUCGAAAGCGUGGGGAGCAAACAGG
rnacentral:rRNA from 1 species